rnacentral:rRNA from 1 species
CGAACGCUGGCGGCGUGCUCACACAUGCAAGUCGACGGAAAGGCCCAGCUUGCUGGGUACGUCGAGUGGCGAACGGGUGAGUAACACGUGAGUAAUCUGCCCUUGGCUUUGGGAUAAGCCUCGGAAACGGGGUCUAAUACCGGAUAUGACUUCCACCUGCAUGGGUGAGAGUGGAAAGGUUUUUCCGGCUGGGGGAUGUGCUCGCGGUCUAUCAGCUUGUUGGUGGGGUAAUGGCUCACCAAGGCUUUGACGGAUAGCCGGCCUGAGAGGGCGACCGGCCACACUGGGACUGAGACACGGCCCAGACUCCUACGGGAGGCAGCAGUGGGGAAUAUUGCGCAAUGGGCGAAAGCCUGAACCGCAGCGACGCCGCGUGAGGGAUGACGGCCUUCGGGUUGUAAACCUCUUUCAGUACCGACGAAGCGCUUGUGACGGUAGGUACAGAAGAAGCGCCGGCUAACUACGUGCCAGCAGCCGC